AACCGUCUCCCGGAACCAGGAUGGCACUUCCUAUGGGCAGGCGUGAGUAGCAGUGGAGACAGCACCAGACAUGUGGCUCUUCCUUGGGAUCGCUGGAUUGCUGACAGCAGUUCUCUCAGGUAGAUCUCUUCUGUCACCUCCUACAGCUCGUGCUAGGGGACCCGGGUUCUGUCUGCUUGGCCCCUUGCUAGCUGUUUCCUCAUGGCCACCUUUGUAGAGCCUUUUAACCUAAGACCAUCCUGGUGUGACAACAGCUUGGGGCUUGAGGUGACGCAGGGACCCCUUAAAGGGCCGGAUGAUGCUCUCAUCAUAAAAGGCCUCCUGGGAGUGAGGUGAACGAACCUCAUGCCUGACUUGGGGCCUAGGUCUGAGGAAGGAGCUCCCCACGCAUCCAUAGGUGCAGGAAGCACCCGCUUCUCCCACCUUCUUACCAUCUCACAGGAAGGAAGGAACGACUCCUUUGAGAGGGAGGACCAGCCAGCAUCAGUAUUUUCCAUGUUAAGUCCCAGAGUGGGGUUCACCAGGACCAGAGACAGAAUCCAGGGAGACCCAGGGGACUUCACUCUUAGUGACUUCGGUUCAACCUCUUGGAUGAAUUUGAGACACAAAUGAUCAAGAAGGCUUUUGAGUUCCUGAGCUGCUAAGUGCUGAAGUAGUCUUGCAUAGUCUGGACUAGGGUUCUGGAGCAAAGGCCCAAGGUCGCCAGAUACUUGAUAGAGUGCACAGGCCAAGCUAGCAGAAACAGGCAAUACACAGAGACUCAGGAAUCCCUGUACAUGGCAGGCAUUCACAUUUCAGGGUAGGAAGAUGGUAUAGAAACAGACUUAGGGUCUAAGGAGUUAGGUCUGCCUUACAGAAGGGGAGCCCAGGCAGAGGGAUGGGGACAUAAAGCUGGUCAGAGGUUAUGAGCACUCGGGGAGUUCUGAAGUGUCUUCUUUCUGUCUGGAUCUUCAGGCAUUUCAUCCAAGUCCCCUGGUGUUAAUUGGCAUGUGUUUUGCCCAGUAGAGGCCUGGGCUUUUGCUGUCCUUUCUUGACCAGCUGUUUCCAAAGCACUGGCUCUCGGAGCUCAGCCUCCUUCUACUCAGGCCGACGGCAAGGCCUUCUGCUUCUUCCUAUCCAUCAGUGCCACCACCUCUGCCUCUCUUAAGAGGCCUGACACAAGAUCAGGCUUAAGUCCUAAAGGAAAAGGUCUGCUGACCGCUAAGACCGGGGCCCCAAACAAGCCAGCUCCUUCUCUUUCCACUGCUUCCCAGUAUGGAUGAGGGCUGGGGCUGAGCUGAGCACGGAGCCCUUUGGGCUGAAACUGAGAGGUCCUUGGUCUGAGAUGAUGGGUCCAGAGUGAUGCCUAUGGGAAGGUAAGACCUCAGCAGCAGGCGGGCUCCAGAGAGCCUACCCUUAGGUAUGGGUUGCACCUGGCCCAUGCACAGUAUCAGUUCCCUCAGCUCCUUCCUGUCCCUGGGUUGAUGUCAGUUGACCCGCUUUUAGUCACUGAUAGAAGUUUAGUUUUGAAAGAAAAAAAUUGGUUAUGUUGUAAGUGGAAAAGCCUUCUCGUUUGCCAGAAAUUAAAGGGAUGAGGAAAGCCUAAAAAUAAAUGGUGGUAGAACCCAAUUCGAGGCAAUUGAAAUGGUGUCACCAAGGCCCUAGAGCCUAAGGCCUACGCCAUUCUGCUCUCCCAAUUAGAGGGGUAACGAGGGAGGUGGGUAAGGACAUCCUGGUUCCGAACUGUUAUUUUCUUCAGAAUUUGUCAGUCACUCGGAGCAGGGAACAGGCUCCUCAUUGGUCAAUGCUCUUUCAUCAGUGCCUGAUGGUCUAUGUCCCAUGGAGAAAUGUCCCAAGAGGACAAGCUUUGCAGGUGUAAGGAAAACUGCACCCUAAAGUGACACUAUGUCUCCCUCAUGGUGAUGUCUAGGAGGCUGAGUCUCUGGGCCCAGGGCCUGAAUGUUCCUUCUUUUUUGCCUGAUGUAGCAGGCCCCCUGGCUGGGCACAGAUCUGUGGAACUGUGUACAGGGUGGCAGAUCUGUGUUGGACCACAUGUGCUUGAGGAAAGAAUGUUAAGAGCAAAGAGAAAGAAAAUGUAGAAAAAGUGAUGGACAACAAGAAGAAAUGGAGCAGGAGAGCGAAGCCCAGGAGAGAGUUCUGGAGCUUUCUGCCCGGGAGCAGUGUUCAAACUUGAGUGAUCUAAAUUCUAUUCUGGGUGUCAGGGGCUGGCGAAUGCCAGGGGUUGGUGGAUGCCAGCUCUCCUAGGAGCUACCGAGCUCUCCUCUGUCUAGGGCUGGUACCUAGCUCUCUGUUCUGAGUCUCGUACUGCUUUCUCCAGCGGCUUGCCUCUGCAAGGCCUGUGUGUGACUGGGUGACCAGGACUUAGGGAGACAGACCCACUGGGCCCCGUUCUGUGCCUUGGUUUCCAUCCAAGGUGGGAAAGAGACCGAGAUGUGAACUAGAAGCUAACUGGAGGGAGGAUGGUGUUAGGAAACGAGUUUUCACCCAGUGUUUCUAGUUCACCAAUACCUGAGCUCCUGCCCUUCCCUGGUCCUCAUUUUCUCAGUUACUGGGUAAAGUCUUCUGGGUCCUGAAAAGGCAGUUUGUAAGUAUUUUAAAAUGAUAAUUCUUCAGGCUAGAGAUACCACUCUGUGGCAAGAGGCCCUUCUUGACACCCAGCACAAUACGUACAGGAAUUGUUUAAUUAAAAAAAUAAUCUAUUUUUCUUAUUAGUAAAUAUAAGUGUUGUUUUAUUUAUAUUUAUAUAUUUAUGUGUGAUAAUUUCAAGGGGCCUUUGAGCCAACCAAGUGUGAGAGAACAUUUUUUUUAAAUAAUAAAUUUCCCUUACUAAUUAAUUCUAGCUAAUUAAUUCCCUCAGCUUUAUGCUGUCCAAUAUGGCGGCCACUGUGUUACUUUUGAGAUGUGUCAGUGCAAAGCACAAAACAAACUCUGAAAAUGAGUUAAAAUAAAUUACAAAUAUACAUAUAUAUGUAUAGUGUGGUGUGCGUGUAUGUGGUGUGCGUGUAUGUGCGUGUGCGUGUGUGUGUGUGUGUGUAUAAAUACAUCCCGCAGCACAUGUGGAAGUCUAUGGACAACUUUUAGAAACUGUUUUUCUCCUUUCAAUAUGUGGAUAUUCGGGAUGGAACUCAGGCUGUAAGCACCUUUGCUCAUUGAACCAUCUUGCCAGACCAUCUUUGGUAUUCUAAACUGUAUUUAGGAAUCAAAAGACUCAAAUCUUCACACAUACACCCUCGAUGAACUCAGGUCCUUACAGGCGCUAGGCAAAGGCUGUGUCGCGAGCCAAAUUCUCAGAUCACGGAUCCCUUUCCUUUCCCAGCAGAAAGCAAAGCCGUCUUAGGAAGGCAGUUCUCAGACCUAAGACUCUGACAUAGUAGAGUGACUGUGAAAUUCUCCUAAAUACUCCAACAGUUUUGACAGACAUUACCAAAUCUUCUGAAAUUUUUAUUAUUGUUUUUUAUUUUUGUUUGUUUUGUUUGUUUUGAGAUUUAUUUCUAUGUGUGUUGGUAUUCUGCCUGCCUACAUGUCUGUGCGGGGGCACCAGAUCCUCUGCAAACUGGAGUUAGAAACAUCCAGCCACCAUGUGGAUGCUGGGAAUUGAACUCACUCAGGUCCUCUGGAAGAUCAGCCAGUGAUUUUAACCACUGAGCCAUCUCUCCAGCCCCCUUUGAGUUUUUAAACUAAACUCUGAACUGAAAGCAGUUGCUCCAUCGCAUGCACGAGAACCUCUGAGGGCCACGUGUCCUCAAAUAUCACAAAUACAGGAUUUUUACAUACUAAUGCAUAGAACUUGACCCAACUUUCACUCCAUGCAUCUUUAGAAAUACUAGAGGGUUCUAUUUAUUUAAUCAUGUGUACUUUGUAAAGCCUAGCCUCCCUGGAGAAGUGUGCGGGAGGCUGGGGCUUUCUCCAUCAGAGAGAAUUUGUCACCUCAGUGGACAUGGAUGAGGUUGGCUUUGUCGUUUUAUCAAAAUAAGCGAUGUGAUUCUUCUGUGCUGUCAAUAGCCAUGCUGUGUCUUUUUGUCCUCCAACUGGGCAGUCCUUAGACCAGCAGUUUCUGUGUACAAAGGACAAAGAAACCAAUCUUCUAUGUCCGAGUCGCCACCUGGGGAUUAAAAUCCAGCACAUGUCCAUUUGUCCAUCCCAUUCUGUGACCCAUUCUUUCUGCCUUUAACACAGCUCACAGAUGCAUCAGUGACACAGGACAAGCUUUGACGUCAUCUGGCUUCUUGUGCUGCCUGGCCACAGGUGACAACUGACAGGGGACAAUUGGCAUGGCUGGUACACCGGUGGCCAUCCCACGCGGUACAUUUAGGCAGAUGUAGAUGGUUUCAGAAUGACCCGGGAGGAUUGAGAUAAAUUGCCGAUAGCUCCCAGGGUUCGUUCUGGGUUUGUCAAGGCCUUCUUUGCUGCCCAUACCAGCCUCACUUCCUUACAAGAAAGCUCAUGAUGUAGCCAGGCUUUGGCUGUUAGAUUCUGAGGCUCAAACCCCAAGCUUUUCCCUGAGCCAAGGAAGAAUAAAUAAGCAACAGUUGGGGAUGGUGGGGAGUUCUGAAAAAAUGGCUCAGUCAAACCUGGCGACUUGAAUUAGAUCCCUGGGACCCACAGGGUGGAAGGAGAGAACAGAUUCAUAUAACUUGUUCUCUGACCUCCAUGUGUAUACUAUAGCACCACCAUAUACAUAGG
rnacentral:lncRNA from 1 species